GAUUCUGUCUAGAGGCACCUUUGACUCUUGGGAUCUUUUUGGAAGAGCACUGAGCACUCCUCCCAGCAGAUGGAAAGCAGAAACAGUAUCUUGACAAAACUCAGACACAGGCCGUUGGUUCACCUAUAUAAGAACUGGCAGGAAACAGAAGUAUUCCUGACUAAUCUCAGUUUUAAACCCAACUAUAAAUACAGUUAAAACUAUAACUAGAGAAUCGCACAGUAUUAAUUGUAGGCAUGUGAUCAAUAUCUUCAUCGUGAACUGCUGACAUUGGCUAUUGUAUUGCCUCAUCUAUAUAAAUUUGAGCAAUAAAAUGCACCUUUUAAGCUUCUACCUUUUCAAA